UACGUAGGGUGCAAGCGUUAAUCGGAAUACUGGGCGUAAAGCGUGCGCAGGCGGUGAUGUAAGACAGGUGUGAAAUCCCAGGGCCUAACCUUGGAACUGCAUUUGUGACUGCAUAGCUAGAGUACGGUAGAGGGGGAUGGAAUUCCGCGUGUAGCAGUGAAAUGCGUAGAUAUGCGGAGGAACACCGAUGGCGAAGGCAAUCCCCUGGACCUGUACUGACGCUCAUGCACGAAAGCGUGGGGAGCAAACGAGG
rnacentral:rRNA from 1 species